CUCACAUAUUCCAUUUUUAUUAAUGAUACCCUGACGUGCAGCAUAUCCGGACCAGGGGAGCCCGGGAAGUUUCAAUCAGCACACAGAGGAGCUCUUAUAUUGCUUAUUUCAGGGCUUCAUGCAUGAGACUGAACACUGUAUUUUACCCAGCUGCAUGAAUCUGCAAAGAUUAUAAAGCCCAGGGGUUUGCUCUUUUCUUUCAAAGAUGAAAAAAAUAAUAUUUCUUCUUAUUUUAACUGCCAUAACCUCAUAAUAACUCCAGAAGUUCCUUAGAAGCAGCAAACCUCUCCCUGCAGCGACACUGAACGCUGGCAUUUCACACCCGGUGCCUGCAGCACAGUGUGGGCCUGCAGUGGGGCUGGGCUUCACUUGCAGUUCUGCCUGAGGCUCUAUCAGCCCCUUGUUCAGCACUGUGAACACGAAUUCAAAAUCAACUGCCAUUUGUUCGGAGUUCUCUUCAGUUAAACUAAUGGAGCAGCUGGACCUACUGAACACAUUUUACCCAUGCAAUGCUCCACGGCAGCUCGCGACGGAGGGCAGUGCCCCGCUAUUGCCCUGUGCUACGUUGUGUUUAAAAGGAGAACACUAGAUUUAAAAUUCAGCCCUGGAGACAUUCAACCUCACUCCAGAGAUGUCACUGUUCAGCAGGUGGGAUUCAGAGAUGCCUGGAGGGAGACGGAGCCAUUUCCCCACCUCCUGAGCACUUAACUACUUUCUUGGCAAUUGUUUGCUGGUUGUGCUGAAGGGGAAUUUUGAGCCCACAGAGACUGGCACCUGACUGCCCAAAGAAUCUCUGGUCUAUGCUCAUGUGUCUGGUUUAAGUCUGGUCUACAAAGAUUUUCUGCAAGCACUGUUUUUGUGAAUUUCACUGUGAAGAUAAAUUAAAUCUUUGAGUGGAGAUCUCUGUUCUGGUCUUGCUCUGAAUGGUGUUGCAUGGGUGCCUAUACUGACUUUUAUUUCAUUUAUUGAAAGUGUAAGAGUGGCUGGGCUCAGCACCCUGCCCUAGGCAUGUUCCUCAUGCU
rnacentral:lncRNA from 1 species